rnacentral:misc_RNA from 1 species
UUCACUGCCGUAUAGGCAGC